GGAGAGAUGCCAGAGUGGUCGAAUGGGCUCGCCUGGAACGCGGGUAGGCUCUUACGGGUCUCGAGGGUUCGAAUCCCUCUCUCUCCGCCA
rnacentral:tRNA from 1 species